rnacentral:lncRNA from 1 species
AGCAGCAAAAAUGAAAAAAGAGAGAGGUUUUAGUGUAAAUGUAAAAAUGAAAAAAAUAUAAAAAAAUAAUAAAAAUAAAAAAUUGUGGGGGAAGAAGAACGUGAAAAAUCUCAAAUUUAAUGGAAAUGAAAAAUAAAAAAAGAAAAAGAAAAAAUUGGGAGGGAAGAGAGUAGAAAAAUAAAGGAAAAAGAACGUGAAAGAAAAGGGAAAAAAACGAGUGGUUUGAAUAUGAAGAAGAAGAGGGGAGG